rnacentral:rRNA from 1 species
CGCUGGCGGCGUGCCUAAUACAUGCAAGUCUAACGGGUAGCAAUAUCAGUGGCGCACGGGUGAGGAUAUAUGGGUAAUCUGCCCUCGAGUCGGGGAUAACCAGUCGAAAGACUGGCUAAUACCGGAUAAGACCACAAGAUCUGCGGAUCUAGGGGUUAAAGGUUUUUCGCUUGAGGAUGAGCCCAUACGGGAUUAGCUAGUUGGUGAGGUAAUGGCUCACCAAGGCUACGAUCCCUAACUGGUCUUAGAGGAUGAUCAGUCACACUGGAACUGAGACACGGUCCAGACUCCUACGGGAGGCAGCAGUAGGGAAUAUUGCACAAUGGGGGAAACCCUGAUGCAGCGACGCCGCGUGAGUGAUGAAGGCCUUCGGGUCGUAAAGCUCUGUCGUAUGGGACUAACACAAUGAAGGUACCAUGCAAGAAAGGAUCGGCUAACUUCGUG